GUAGCAACGCACAGUUUAUACCGUAGCUUGCUACACCAUAGUACUGUGAGUUGCGAACGGGUGAGUAACGCGUAGGUAACCUGCCUGGUAGCGGGGGAUAACUAUUGGAAACGAUAGCUAAUACCGCAUAAUAUUAAUUAUUGCAUGAUAAUUAAUUGAAAGGUGCAAUUGCNCCACUACCAGAUGGACCUGCGUUGUAUUAGCUAGUAGGUGAGGUAACGGCUCACCUAGGCGACGAUACAUAGCCGACCUGAGAGGGUGAUCGGCCACACUGGGACUGAGACACGGCCCAGACUCCUACGGGAGGCAGCAGUAGGGAAUCUUCGGCAAUGGACGAAAGUCCGACCGAGCAACGCCGCGUGAGUGAAGAAGGUUUUCGGAUCGUAAAGCUCUGUUGUAAGAGAAGAACGGGUGUGAGAGUGGAAAGUUCACACUGUGACGGUAUCUUACCAGAAAGGGACGGCUAACUACGUGCCAGCAGCCGCGGUAAUACGUAGGU
rnacentral:rRNA from 1 species